GCUCAGAGCGCCCAGUCCGACGCCAGGCUCUGCGCUCGGUCCCCUCUGCUCCACCUCCUCCCCGCGGGGCGUGCAGCUCCGAAGCUCUUUGGACCUAGCAGGUUCGGCGGCCGGGAGGUGCCAUUCACAUCAAAUGUAGCCAUUUUAGAGGUGUCAAAAUAAAUCAGCCAUAUUUAAUAAAUUCCAGCUCUACUCUUCUACCCUGUAGCCCAAGAAGCAGCAACGAUGGGGUCAAAGGAUCAUGCAGUAUUUUUCAGGGAAAUGACACAGUUAAUUUUGAAUGAAAUGCCAAAAGCUAGGUAUUCCAGCAUAUUAAAUGAUUUUGUGGAAUCUAAUUUUUUUGUGAUUGAUGGAGAUUCCUUGCUUGUCACAUGCCUGGGUGUAAAAUCAUUCAAGUGGGGACAGAAUCUCCACUUUUUCUAUCUGGUUGAAUGCUAUCUUGUGGAUCUUCUGAGUAACGGAGGACAAUUCGCCAUAGUUUUCUUUAAGAUGGAGUUUCGCUCUUUUUGCACAGGCUGGGGUGCAAUGCCGUGAUCUCGGCUCACUGCAACCUCCACCUCCUAGGUUCAAGUGAUUCUACUCUCUCAGCCUCCCAAGUAGCUGGGAUUACAGGCGUGUGCCAC
rnacentral:sRNA from 1 species